rnacentral:lncRNA from 1 species
AAUUAAGUGAAAUAGGUCGAAAGAUAAAUUCAAAUGUUGAAAAUUAAUUUAUAUAUGCUGAAAAUAAUUUAUAUAUGCUGAAAAAUUAAUUUAAGAGUGCUGGAAAAUAAGAUUAAAACGUUGGAAUAUAGAUUUAACUGCUGAAAAUUGUUUUAAAAGAGCUCGAAAAUAUAUUCCAAUGCUGAAAAAUAAUUUAUAUGCUGGAAAAUAAUUUC